ACAGAGGUCCCAAGCGUUGUUCGGAUUCACUGGGCGUAAAGGGUGCGUAGGCGGUUGGGUAAGUCUGACGUGAAAUCUCCGGGCCUAACCCGGAAACUGCGUUGGAUACUACCUGGCUAGAGGAAUGGAGGGGAGACUGGAAUACUUGGUGUAGCAGUGAAAUGCGUAGAUAUCAAGUGGAACACCAGUGGCGAAGGCGAGUCUCUGGACAUUUCCUGACGCUGAGGCACGAAAGCCAGGGGAGCAAACGGGAUUAGAUACCCCGGUAGUCCUGGCCCUAAACGGUGCGCGUUUGCUGUAAGUGGAAUCGACCCCACUUGUGGCGAAGUUAACACGUUAAACGCGCCGCCUGGGAAGUACGGCCGCAAGGUUA
rnacentral:rRNA from 1 species